rfam:Schistocephalus solidus strain NST_G2 genome assembly, scaffold: SSLN_scaffold0000814
GGCCUCGUAGCUCAAUUGGCUAGAGCGUUGGCUGUACUAAAGCCUUGUCCUUGCAGACAUGGGUUCGAAUCUCACCGAGGCCC